GAUGAACGCUGGCGGCGUGCCUUAAGCAUGCAAGUCGAACGAUUCUAGUAGCAAUACUAAUUUAGUGGCAGACGGGUGAGUAAUAUAUAGGAAUCUACCUCUUGGUGGGGGAUAGCUCGCCGAAAGGCGGGGUAAUACCGCAUAUGGCCUACGGGUCAAAGACCUUAACCGGUCGCCGAGAGAGGAGCCUGUAUCCUAUCAGCUAGUUGGUGAGGUAAUGGCUCACCAAGGCUACGACGGGUAGGGGGUGUGAGAGCACGACCCCCCACAAGGACACUGAGACACGGGUCCUACACCUACGGGUGGCAG
rnacentral:rRNA from 1 species